rnacentral:piRNA from 1 species
UUCUGAGAUGGAGGAACUCUGCGAGUAG